rnacentral:tRNA from 1 species
GCCUGGGUGGUUCAGUCGGUUAAGCGUCUGACUUCGGCUCAGGUCAUGAUCUCAUGGGUUCGAGUCCCACCUCAGGGA